rnacentral:rRNA from 1 species
AAUCCAUAGGUUAAUGAGGCGAACCGGGGGAACUGAAACAUCUAAGUACCCCGAGGAAAAGAAAUCAACCGAGAUUCCCCCAGUAGCGGCGAGCGAACGGGGAGGAGCCCAGAGCCUGAAUCAGCAUGUGUGUUAGUGGAAGCGUCUGGAAAGGCGCGCGAUACAGGGUGACAGCCCCGUACACAAAAGCGCAUGUGCUGUGAGCUCGAUGAGUAGGGCGGGACACGUGGUAUCCUGUCUGAAUAUGGGGGGACCAUCCUCCAAGGCUAAAUACUCCUGACUGACCGAUAGUGAACCAGUACCGUGAGGGAAAGGCGAAAAGAACCCCGGCGAGGGGAGUGAAAAAGAACCUGAAACCGUGUACGUACAAGCAGUGGGAGCACCCUUUGGGUGUGACUGCGUACCUUUUGUAUAAUGGGUCAGCGACUUAUAUUCUGUAGCAAGGUUAACCGAAUAGGGGAGCCGGAGGGAAACCGAGUCUUAAUUGGGCGUUAAGUUGCAGGGUAUAGACCCGAAACCCGGUGAUCUAGCCAUGGGCAGGUUGAAGGUUGGGUA